rnacentral:rRNA from 1 species
GGACUACAGGGGUUUCUAAUCCUGUUUGCUCCCCACGCUUUCGCACAUGAGCGUCAGUAUUGGUCCAGGAGGUCGCUUUCGCCACUGAUGUUCCUUCAGAUAUCUACGCAUUUCACCGCUACACCUGAAAUUCCACCUCCCUCUCCCAUACUCUAGCAAUGCAGUCUCGAAUGCAGUUCCCAGGUUGAGCCCGGGGAUUUCACACUCGACUUGCAAAGCCGCCUACGCGCGCUUUACGCCCAGUAAUUCCGAUUAACGCUCGCACCCUCUGUAUUACCGCGGCUGCUGGCAC